GAUGAACGCUAGCGAUAGGCUUAACACAUGCAAGUCGAGGGGCAGCAUGGUCUUAGCUUGCUAAGACUGAUGGCGACCGGCGCACGGGUGCGUAACGCGUAUGCAACUUGCCUCACAGAGGGGGAUAACCCGUCGAAAGACGGACUAAUACCGCGUACACUCCAUCUUGGGCAUCCAAGGUAGAGGAAAUGAAAUUCGCUGUGAGAUGGGCAUGCGUCCCAUUAGCUAGUUGGUGAGGUAACGGCUCACCAAGGCGACGAUGGGUAGGGGAACUGAGAGGUUGAACCCCCACACUGGUACUGAGACACGGACCAGACUCCUACGGGAGGCAGCAGUGAGGAAUAUUGGUCAAUGGGCGAGAGCCUGAACCAGCCAAGUCGCGUGAAGGAUGACUGUCUUAUGGAUUGUAAACUUCUUUUAUACGGGAAUAACAAGAGUCACGUGUGACUCCCUGCAUGUACCGUAUGAAUAAGCAUCGGCUAACUCCGUG
rnacentral:rRNA from 1 species